rnacentral:rRNA from 1 species
CGAAGGGGCUAGCGUUGCUCGGAAUUACUGGGGCGUAAAGGGCGCGUAGGCGGACAGUUUAGUCAGAGGUGAAAGCCCAGGGCUCAACCUUGGAAUUGCCUUUGAUACUGACUGUCUUGAGUUCGGGAGAGGUGAGUGGAAUGCCGAGUGUAGAGGUGAAAUUCGUAGAUAUUCGGCGGAACACCAGUGGCGAAGGCGACUCACUGGCCCGAUACUGACGCUGAGGCGCGAAAGCGUGGGGAGCAAACAGGAUUAGAUACCCUGGUAGUCCACGCUGUAAACGAUGAGUGCUAGUUGUCGGCAUGCAUGCAUGUCGGUGACGCAGCUAACGCAUUAAGCACUCCGCCUGGGGAGUACGGUCGCAAGAUUA